UACGAAGGGGGCUAGCGUUGUUCGGAAUUACUGGGCGUAAAGCGCGCGCAGGCGGCUAUCCAAGUCAGUGGUGAAAGCCCGGAGCUCAACUCCGGAACUGCCAUUGAAACUGUUGGACUUGAGUACGAGAGAGGUGAGUGGAAUUCCCAGUGUAGAGGUGAAAUUCGUAGAUAUUGGGAAGAACACCGGUGGCGAAGGCGGCUCACUGGCUCGUAACUGACGCUCAGGCGCGACAGCGUGGGGAUCAAACAGG
rnacentral:rRNA from 1 species